CUUUGUUUUUCCAUCUCUCGCUCGUUGCCCGUGAUCUCUAUCAUACGGUGGCUGGCAAUUUUUUAAAACAUUUUAUGAUGGCGGAGGACAGUGAAUCCGCGGCCAGUCAGCAGAGCCUGGAGCUGGACGACCAGGAUACCUGCGGGAUAGACGGAGACAACGAAGAGGAGAAUGAGCAUAUGCAGGGGAGUCCUGGGGGAGAUAUGGGGGCCAAGAGGAAGAAGAAGAAGCAGAAGAGGAAGAAAGAAAAGCCAAGCUCGGGGGGAGCCAAGUCUGACUCUGCCUCUGACUCUCAGGAGAUCAAGAAUCCUGGCUUGCCCAUUCAGAAGCUGCAGGACAUCCAAAGAGCCAUGGAGCUACUGUCCUGCCAGGGUCCAGCAAAGAACAUCGAUGAGGCAGCCAAGCACAAGUACCAGUUCUGGGACACCCAGCCCGUGCCGAAGCUAAAUGAGGUGGUGACGAGUCAUGGGCCGAUAGAAGCAGACAAAGAAAACAUCAGACAGGAGCCAUAUUCCUUACCUCAAGGAUUUAUGUGGGACACUCUGGAUCUCAGCAACGCAGAUGUACUGAAGGAGUUGUACACAUUGUUAAAUGAGAACUACGUGGAGGAUGACGACAACAUGUUCAGAUUUGAUUAUUCACCAAACUUUCUCAAAUGGGCUCUGCGUCCACCUGGCUGGCUACCACAGUGGCAUUGUGGAGUGAGAGUGUCCUCAAAUAAGAAGCUUGUUGGCUUCAUCAGUGCCAUUCCUGCAGAUAUACGCAUCUAUGAAACACUGAAGAGGAUGGUUGAAAUCAACUUCCUGUGUGUCCAUAAGAAGCUGCGUUCAAAGCGCGUUGCUCCAGUGCUAAUCAGAGAGAUCACACGGAGGGUGAAUUUAGAAGGAAUAUUUCAGGCAGUAUACACAGCAGGAGUGGUACUGCCUAAACCUGUGUCCACAUGCAGGUAUUGGCAUCGUUCUUUGAACCCCAGGAAGCUUGUGGAAGUUAAAUUCUCCCACCUGAGCAGAAACAUGACCCUGCAAAGAACCAUGAAACUCUACAGACUACCAGAUAGCACCAAGACCCCAGGUCUGCGGCCGAUGGAGAGGCGUGACAUCCGCCAGGUCACCGAGCUGCUACAGAAGUACCUGAGACGUUUCCAUCUUGCACCAUCUAUGGGAGAAGAGGAGGUUGCUCACUGGUUCUUGCCACAGGACACCAUAAUUGACACAUAUGUAGUAGAGGGCGCUGGCGGUGUACUGACAGACUUCGCUAGUUUCUACACUCUGCCCUCGACUGUGAUGCACCACCCUCUCCACAGGAGCCUGAAGGCUGCUUAUUCUUUCUACAAUGUUCAUACACAAACCCCACUACUGGACUUAAUGAAUGAUGCACUCAUCCUGGCCAAACUGAAAGGUUUUGAUGUGUUCAAUGCCUUGGAUCUAAUGGAGAAUAAGGUGUUCCUGGAGAAGCUCAAGUUUGGCAUAGGAGAUGGAAAUCUGCAGUAUUACCUCUACAACUGGAAAUGUCCCCCAAUGGACCCUGAUAAGGUUGGCCUCGUCCUUCAGUAGCAGGUCUCUUCAUGGCUGCUACACAAACACUGAUCAGGAGGUCGUCAGCGACCUCUGCCUAUUCCUUACCUGGACAUACAGGUAGCCCAAGCUAGACAAUGAGAACUACAACAGUAAAAGCAACCGGGAGACUGGGAGGCGGUUCACCCGUCAUCAAGAACAUUCUCAGUUCACCUGGAGAGCCGUGAAUAGGAUGUCCCUGUAAAGCAGCUGAUUGGCCAGAAGUGCAACUGUGGGCUUGUAAACAUUUCUUUUAUUAAUACACAUAUAAGCAUCAGUUUUCUCACCUGAUGUGUCAUCAGAAAUCAAACUCUCAGCUAAAUACAACAAAGAGAAUUGAGCACAACAUUGAGUGUCUGGUGAAUAAUUUAGCAUUAGCAUGUAUUCGCAGUACAGUGGCUGAAUAAACAAAAGCCUGUAUCAGUAACCGCAUCAAUUUGAAAUUUGAGCUUUUCCUGUUUUUCCAGGUCCAUUUUUAUUGACUUCUCUGUAUUUGUUUUUUUUUAAUGGUACUGUAUUUGUGUGUCUGAAAAACAUACUGUGGGUCAAUUUUAUUGUGUUGUGCAGCUAAAUGCGUGAAAUUCUUUGAACAUUUCUGAUAUUUAUACUUGUACUUUGCAAAAUGUCUUCAGGCAUAAUUCCUGUUCUGUUUCUUUCCAGUAUUUCUCUAAAAUGUCCAGUUAAAUGGGAAACGUCAAAACUGAUUUUUGAGGGUUUGGAGUAUUUGGCAUGUCCCUGUGCUCAGCUGAGCAGGGUGAGGAUGGUUGAUGCUGCUGCUGGUGUACUCAAAGGUUAAAAGUGUUUUAAAAUAGUCUUUUUUGCUCUGAGUUUGUUACUUUGUGUUUGAUGUUCCUGUGUGGCUCUGCAUAAAUUAAGAGGUAGAGGCAGCUGCCAUUUUUGUUGUUCAUCUUUCUGUAUGUGGUGUAAUUUUCUUCUCAUCCCUUUAUAUCUUAGCAAGAAAAGGACAACCAACAGACAGCCAGUGCUUCAGGGUUUAAAGUUUUUUUUUUUUUUUUUUUUUAAACCAUAUUAAGGUCGAAUGAGUUGUAUUCACAAAGACAGAUGUUGCUGGCAUUAAUUUAGCACUGAAACUGAGUUGUUGAGUCAACGGUGUGCCUCAUGGAUGUUGGUUGUGUCACAGAUGUGUUGCCUGCAGCUGUUUGAAUGAACUUUGAGCAUGUCCGUUCUGCGGCCGUGAUGAUUUUAGCGUUGUUACUAGCCACACCCUUUAGUGAGAAAACCCGAAGUACCUGCCUUAUUUCAAAGAUUUUUUUUGUUUUUUAAUUACAAUUUUGGGGGUGGGGGGCGUACUUUUGAAAUGACAUACAGCUUUCUCUAACUGAAGAACAAUAUUUUUAUUCAAAUCCAUUGUAAGCUGUGAAAAAGCUGAAGAACUUGUACCAGCAUCAUUUAGACAUGACCCCAUGCAAAUAACAAUCUGUUUCAACACACGUCAGCUAUACCAGCAUGGAUAUUUGAUUGAAUAAACUCACUUUAAAAAGGA